UGAGAGGCAGGGGCUCAUGUCCAGACCACAGCUUGACCUGUCUGCUGAGUCUAAGCUGGCUUCCAGCUGAGUGUCACCUGUGACCGCGGGUACAGGGGGGGUAUGAGCCUGCAGAUUCCUGCUCCACAGAGCUGCUCUCCCUGCCAUUGAGCUGUGGUGAGCCCAGGCUGUGGCCGGGUGUGGCCUCUUGCUGGUGAGUCCUGGGCUGACCCAUGGCUUUCUCCCCCACUCUGCAUGUUCCCGGGCCUGCUCUCUUGCCUGUGGAAAUCUAGUCCUCCCACUGGGAGCAGGGGCCAUGGGCAUCCUGCAACUUCUGACCAAAAUGAUGAUCUCGUGGUAACCUGUUGGAACGUCUGUGAACAGCCCUGGAUUUCAUUCUGCUCAGCAGCAGGAGAAGGCUAAGGCUGGUCAGCGUCUCAAGGUGGCUCACCGAGCAGCAGUGACACCCCCAGCCAGGGACUGACGGUUGGAGGUGAACACGGCUGCACUGAGCAGUGGAGGGACUGCAGUGUGCAGCAGCGUGUGUGGACCGCUGGUGUCCAGGCCUGUGUGCAGGGACAACACCAAGGAGUUGGGCUUGAUCCUUGCUAAGAGUGCCCUGGUUCGGCCCUUUUUCUUUAAUUUUUUAAUACCACAGCCCUUUCAUAUUUUAUAUUGAGAUAUGGUCUACAUUGCUGGGGCUGGUCUGGAACUUGCCAUCCUCGAGCCUCAGCCUCCCGAGUUGCUGGGAUUUCAGGGAUGCACGACUGUGCCCCACUAGUUUGGCCCUUUUAAAGCUUAUCAUAGCCAAGUUUUUGUUGCUCCUCUUAGAGACAAGGACAUGGGGUGGAGUGGCAAUCAGAGCCACCGGCUGUUGCAGCAGAGCACUCCUGGGGCCCGGAGGCUCCUCCACCCCGGUGCCUCCCAGGCACCGCUGUCUCCUGUCUGGGUGCUCUUGGGCCUCCCUGAGCUGCCUCUCUGUAGUGCUCCUCUGGGGAGGGCCUCCUCCUCCCUCACUGGCUUCCAGUUGCACCUCCACCCAGAGCAACUGUGUGACUGGUGCUGGCUGAACCAGGCAGAAUUGGGGGUGUUCUGCUGAGCCAGCUGCUCUCAGGCUUCUGUUUUGCUUUAGCUUUUUUGCUACUGUGACUAAAAGACCCAACCAGCACAAUUCCAGAGGAGGAAGAGUUUAUUUGAGGGUUCGUGGUUUCAGAGGUCUCAAUCCAUAGAAGGCCGGCUCCAUUCCUCAGGGCUGGAGGUGAGGCAGAUCAUCAGGGAGGAGGAGUGUGGCCGAGGGAAGCAGCUCACAUGGUGAUCAGGGACCAUAUGCCCCAUGUACACACCCCCAUGCCCAGCUCCUCCAGCCACACCCCACCUGCCUCCGGUCACCGCUCAGUGACCCCCUCGGGGAUCAAUUCACAGAUCAGGUUAAGGCUGUGGCCCAGUCACUCGUCCUCCAGACCUUGCCCCAUCUCACACGUGAGCUUUUGGGGAACACCCCACAUGCAAACCUUGGCCCAUUCCCAGGGUGUUGACCUGCUGUGUGUUGUCAAGACACGUUCACGGACGGGACACCACCAGAGCCUAGACUUGGGAGAGGAGGCGAUGCCAAAACCAGGAGGGUUUAUGCUGACCGGCUUUUUUGUUUCACUUGAAAGUGUCUGGGCUUUUUGCAAGGUCUCUGGGUGAAAAGUUCCAAGGAAAGAGUACCACAGCUUGCUGCAGCGGCCUGGCAGGUGUGGGGGCUCGGGGCCCCUCCCAGCCCUUCUCUCGCAGUGAAGACACCUGUCUUGCCCGUCACCUGUGUCUUGGUUCCUGGCUAUCUGUUUAAACCAGAGCGAGUACCUUGUGACCUUGGUGAGAAGGAAGGUGCUGAGCACCUGACCUGGCGCUGGGCCCAGGAUGCCUGUGAGGAGCCAGGUGCCCCUGUACCAUGACUGUGCAACCCUCCACCCACUGUCCUGCUGCCACAGGGCCCUCACAGCACCUUCCGGUGGUGACAGUCACGUUCAGGACCUGCUCACACUCCUCCCUGUGCAGUGUGUGACUGGCAGCCUCGUCAGUGUGCCACCCUGCGGUGCCAUUGAGCCUCCAGCAUGAGGAGGCCCCCCCCCCUGCCCCUCGGGUGCACAGUCCCUCUCGGGGGUGCAGACGGGAGCAUCCUUCUCCCCGACCCCAUGGGUACCCUGGGUGCAUGCACCUGCACUUGAUGCUAACCAGAGGGCCCUGGCUGGUUCUAAAGUCCAGUGCCAUGGACAGAUUUGCAAGGGUGAAAUGGAGGCCGUGUGGAGCCUGCUGUCAACUUGCCGCAGUGUGGCUGGGCACAAAUCACGAGCCACCGAAGCAGGAACAAACUUUAUUUCCCGAACUCCCCCAGUGCCACGCACGCGGCGCCUUCUCCCAGGACACACCACACCAACCAGAAAUCUCUCCUCCGGAAAUCCCUCCUCCCGCACUUCCCCAACCAAUGGGAACUCUCCGGGAAUCCCACGAGGCCGAGGUGGACAGCAGGGGUCUAAUAUACAAUUGAAUACACAGCUUAACAUAACCAUUAUCAUCUCAAUGGCCACUCCAUUCUGGCAAAGAUGCCAUUCGUCAUUCCGACUCGGCUGUGGCUCUCAGCACCAACUGCUGCCUGCUGUCCUUCACUGUGGAUCUGGGGGCCGUGCACAGGAGAGCCUGGUGCUCAUUCCAGGGCCUCCCCUCACCCUGUCCUUGAGCGCAGUCGUGAGAACUGCCUGUGGAACAAGCCGGGGUUUGAGAAAGGGCCAGGGACAGAGGCCGUGGCCAGGAGCCCCCGGCUGCUGGCCUGCUGCUCAGCAGAGUUCAGGUGCCUUUGUUGCCCCAGCACCUAGGGAGGCAGAGCCAAGACCAGCUUGUUCUCGGCCCUUCAGCUCCAUUGAGGGCACCCUGCCAGGCAAGGCGGGCCUCUCUGGCCCAGCACCACAGGGAAGAAAGCAGGGCAAGUGGGGACUCCAGCCUGUGCCCUGGGCCAGCCACACCAGCUGCUGUCUGUCAGUGUCAGGCACCCUUUCCCCUCACACUCGAGCCGGCUGGCGAUGGUCGCCAUCUUGUGUCCCCUCUGCCGCUCUGCAUAUUUUACAUAUGCUUUCUGAUUUUUCAAGCAUCUCAGGAUCAUUGAAGCUAAAUUUAGCUCCAUCUUGCAUUAGAAACAAAAAUGCCAGCUUCAAGACCUUCACUUUGUUCCUACAUGUGAUUGUUACUCUGCAGUGUGAUCGUGCACAGUUGGUGAAACAACACCAGCUAGGCUUCUCACUGAGACUUGUGUGCCACCCUGAGCACAUGCUUGUUGUCAGCAGAGUCCUCGCGUAUUAUAACACACCACAGAAGUCUGGCUUUGGGACUUGUUAACUUGACCUUCAAAAAAUUAAUCUGGACAUAAAGAGGUCUUGUGGGUUUGCAGGAUUUGGUGGCAGCGAAGUCGGGGCUGGGGAUGGGGCCAAAGCCAGCCAGCCAGUGUUUGUCUCCUGCCCACCACUGAUACAGAUACCCGACCUGUAGCUCAGCAGGUCUAAGCUUCUGUUUGCUUAGGUAUUCAUGGGGGAGAAACCUCCCAGCGGGCUGGAGGGACAGGCUGGUGAUGUGCACCAGCCAGGGGUGUGGGAGUGCGUGGCCUUGCUCAGCCUCUGCAGCACAGCGUCCAGGUCUGCUCCUAGAACACAGGGCUCUGGGUGCUCAAUGUCUGCAGCCUUCAGGGUCACCAGGCUCACGAAGCAGAAGCAUGAAAUGAUGAGAAUAAGGACCGACCAUGGCCAGGACUGCUGCGGGCAUCGCAGACACUCAGGGUAAAGCUGCAUUCCAGAUGCGCCGAGAAAGUCAAGCAGAAACUGAGAAGAUGUGGAAGGCCUACCGUAUCCAGCUCUCAGGCAACAGCUGGGAGGUGUGCACAAAGGGUCACGCAGGCUGGACACUGCGGGAAUGACCAGAGUGAAACUCCCAGAAAGGAAAUGCCCCAACACAAGCAGGCAUCACCGGCAUGGGCCUCCGACACUCACCACACGUGGGCUUAGAGUCCGCAAAACGCCGUGUGUUGGGGGGCAGGCAGGAAAACAUUAGAAAGGUCAACCGCCAGAAUUCUCCCCAAUUCGAUUUAAAGUCCAGGUCAAGCACCCCUUGUCCAGGAAUCUGAAAUGCUCCAAAACCCAGCGUUCUCUAGCUCUGCCACGACACUCAAGUUUUGUAUUUUGAAACAUCUUAAAUUUUUGGAUUAGAGAUGCUCAACCAAUAAAGUCUACGUAAAAAUUCCCAAAUCUGCAGAACUUCAAAAUGGAAACACUUUGGUCCCAAGUAGAGCAGAUGGGUAGCAAAUGUGCACGGUCGGCAGACGCAAGACCUGAGUGUGGGAAGAGGCAGGCAGCCGAGGCCGCAGGAUGCAAGAGGGACCAACCGUGAGGAGGAGAUCCGGCAGUGGCAGAUGCGGGAGGCACGCUCCGCUGUAGGCAGAGGAGGGAACGCAGCCCAGAGCCUGGGGUCCAGGGUAGGAGUGAAGACUCUCCAGGCAACGGGGCCCCAGGGCAGAGGCUCAGUCCUGGGCAGAAGGAGAGAAUCCAGGAAGGGCCGCGGCCAGACGCAGGCAGUUCAGGAGGCCACUGGCUCCGAGAUGAGACGGCGAGGGGCGAGGCACAUCCCGCUGCAGGCUGAGGCUUGGGGCCGGCAGCAGCGGCUUCC
rnacentral:lncRNA from 1 species